AUAAUCGUCGGAAACGGCGUCUAAUACCCCGUAUGAAGCUGGACGGCAUCGUCUGGUUUUGAAAGAAUAUCGGAGACGGAUGGGCAUGCGGCGCAUUAGCUAGUUGGCGGGGUAACGGCCCACCAAGGCGACGAUGCGUAGGGGUUCUGAGAGGAAGGUCCCCCACACUGGUACUGAGACACGGACCAGACUCCUACGGAAGGCAGCAG
rnacentral:rRNA from 1 species